ACCAUGCAGACGAAUGGGAUUAGGCUCCGCCUCUUUUGGAUCAUUUGAAGACAAAAUAAGCUACCGAGGCGGCUUUUUGAUUGGAUAUGAGCCUCAUGAAUAUGUAUUUUAUCGAUAGUAUCGUUUAAGAAACCGGAUAAUAUAUUUGACCUCAUUGCGUCACUUUAAUUAUGCAGAUUUAUGCACGACGCUACUACACUCGCACAAACUGAGAAGAGUUAGUUCAUUGAGAAUGGAAUGAAACUGAUGAAGAUCUGGAAGGAGUUAACUGAUGAGUGGACAUUAAAACAUUUCUUAUAUUUGCAAGAUGAAGCAGAAAGUCCCAUGCAGGAUGAUGCUUCUCUACAGUGGACGAUGAAGGCAUGCUGGUUUACAAACUCAGGAGAGGAACAAAGAACAGAUAUUGAAGGAUCAUAUCUAGAAAUGCGGGCCUACUACACUUCAUACAAGCAAGUGUGCUAAUAUACAUACUUGGGUUAUCAUUACAGCCCUUUCUUCUGAAAACUAGG
rnacentral:lncRNA from 1 species